rnacentral:rRNA from 1 species
GUUUUUGUAGUAAUACAAGGCAGACGGCUCAGUAACACGUAGUCAAUCUAACCUAUGGACGAGGAUAACCUCGGGAAACUGAGAAUAAUACUCGAUAGAUCAUUAUGCCUGGAACGGUUUAUGGUUCAAAUGAAUUUCGCCAUAGGAUGGGACUGCGGUCUAUCAGCUUGUUGGUGAGGUAAUGGCCCACCAAGGCUAUAACAGAUACGGGCUCUGAGAGGAGAAGCCCGGAGAUGGGUACUGAGACACGGACCCAGGCCCUAUGGGGCGCAGCAGGCGAGAAAACUUUGCAAUGUGCGAAAGCACGACAAGGUUAAUCCGAGUGAUUCCUGCUAAAGGAAUCUUUUGUUAGUCAUAAUACCACUGAUGAAUAAGGGGUGGGCAAGUUCUGGUGUCAGCCGCCGCGGUAAAACCAGCACCUCAAGUGGUCAGGAGGAUUAUUGGGCCUAAAGCAUCCGUAGCCGGCUUUGUAAGUUUUCGGUUAAAUCUAUAUGCUCAACAUAUAGGCUGCCGGGAAUACUGCAAAGCUAGGGAAUGGGAGAGGUAGACGGUACUCCGUAGGAAGGGGUAAAAUCCUUUGAUCUAUGGAUGACCACCUGUGGCGAAGGCGGUCUACCAGAACACGUCCGACGGUGAGGGAUGAAAGCUGGGGGGGCAAACCGGAUUAGAUACCCGGGUAGUCCCAGCUGUAAACUAUGCAAACUCAGUGAUGCAUUGGCUUGUGGCCAGUGCAGUGCCGCAGGGAAGCCGUUAAGUUUGCCGCCUGGGAAGUACGUACGCAAGUAUGAAACUUAAAGGAAUUGGCGGGGGAGCACCACAAGGGGUGAAGCCUGCGGUUCAAUUGGAGUCAACGCCAGAAAUCUUACCCGAAGAGACAGCAGAAUGAAGGUCAAGCUGGAGACUUUACCAGACAAGCUGAGAAGUGGUGCAUGGCCGUCGCCAGCUCGUGCCGUGAGAUGUCCUGUUAAGUCAGGUAACGAGCGAGAUCCCUGCCUCUAGUUGCCACCAUUACUCUCAGGAGUAGUGGGGCGAAUUAGAGGGACCGCCACAGUUAAUGUGGAGGAAGGAAGGGGCCACGGCAGGUCAGUAUGCCCUGAAACUUUGGGGCCACACGCGGGCUGCAAUGGUAGUGACAAUGAGUUUCCUAAUCCGAAAGGAGGAGGCAAUCUUCAA